AAUUCUAGAGCUAAUACAUGCUGGUUAGCCUGACUUUUGAGGAAGGGCCGUAUUUAUUAGAUAACAAACCAAUAUUCCCCGUGUCUAUUGUGAUGACUCAUAAUAACUGAUCGAAUCGCAUGGGCCUUGCCCGCGAUACAUCAUUCAAGUUUCUGCCCCAUCAGCUUUCGAUGGUAGUGUAUUGGACUACCAUGGCUUUCACGGGUAACGGAGGAUUAGGGUUCGAUUCCGGAGAGGGAGCCUGAGAAACGGCUACCACAACUAAGGAAGGCAGCAGGCGCGUAAAUUACUCAAUCCUGAUUCAGGGAGGUAGUGACAAGAAAUAACGGACCGAGGCUUUUGUCUCGGGAUUGCAAUGAGUAGAAUUUAAACCCCUUUACGAGGAUCAAUUGGAGGGCAAGUCUGGUGCCAGCAGCCGCGGUAAUUCCAGCUCCAAUAGCGUAUAUUAAAGUUGUUGCAGUUAAAAAGCUCGUAGUUGGAUUUCUGAGGGGGUGCCAAUGUCCGCAUGUUGCGUGUGCAGCGGGGCCCCCUCAUCCUUCUGUUAACGUUUCUGAUAUUCAUUUAUUGGUCUCGGGCUCAGAUAUUUUACCUUGAGAAAUUAGAGUGUUCCAGGCAGGCUUGCGCCGGAUACAUUAGCAUGGAUAUAGAUAGGACUUUAGUCUCCUUUGUGGUUUGAGGACUGAGUAUGAUUAAUAGGAUAGUGGGGCAUAGUAUUAUUGUCAGAGUGAAUCUCGGAUUUGUAAAGACUACUAUGCGAAGCAUUG
rnacentral:rRNA from 1 species